CUGCCAGUAGUCAUACGCUCGUCUCAAAGAUUAAGCCAUGCAUGUGUAAGUCUAAAUAGUUUUAGUGUGAAACUGCGAAUGGCUCAUUAUAUCAGUUAUAGUUUAUUUGGAAUAGUUUGUAUAUGGAUAACCGUAGUAAUUCUAGGGCUAAUACAUGUGUUUUCUUUGUUGGGUAACCAGUAAAGAAGUACUUAUUAGAGAUAAAACCAAUUCUAUAGAAUGGUGAGUAAUAAUAAUUGUUAUAGUUUAUCGCAUGCUUUCGUAGUAGCGAUGUUCCUUUCAAGUUUCUGCCCUAUCAGCUUUCGAUGGUAGUGUAUUGGACUACCAUGGCAGUAACGGGUAACGAAGAAUUUGGGUUCGAUUUCGGAGAGGGAGCCUGAGAGAUGGCUACCACAUCCAAGGAAGGCAGCAGGCGCGUAAAUUACCCAAUCCUGACAGAGGGAGGUAGUGACAAUAAAUCUCAAUACGAAGCCUUUGGUUUUGUAAUUGAAUUGAGAACAAUGUACAAUCGUUAUCGAUAAACAAUUGGAGGGCAAGUCUGGUGCCAGCAGCCGCGGUAAUUCCAGCUCCAAUAGCGUAUAUUAACGUUGUUG
rnacentral:rRNA from 1 species